GACAGUGGGGACUUUAUUGAGAGGAGCUGGGGUGGAAGUGGGGGGUGACAGGAUGGAAAUUUUGCAUCGCUGUGCUUGGUCCCAGGACUUACCUCAGAGGAGG
ensembl:miRNA